GCGAGGGUGGCGGAACUGGCAUACGCGGUAGCCUUAGGAGCUACUUCCUUUUGGAUUGCGGGUUCGACUCCCGCCUCUCGCA
rnacentral:tRNA from 1 species